CGGGUGAAGCUGAGAUCAUUUGUUCAUUGCCAACAUGUGGCUCUGCAGAGCAGAUGAACUGAAAGCUUGACCAAAUUGCGUGAUUUUCCCAAUCUAAAUCACCAUUUUCAAUUCCUAUGUGAUUUCCUGAUCCCAUGAUCCCUCAGUGGUCAGUGCCCUGUGCUGCAACCCGUGUCGCUGAUUUGAUUAACGCAGUGCUGGCAGAGCUACAAAGCUGUUCUGAGGCCAGCAGUUUGAGACCUGAUUUGGCAGUGAAUGAGAUGGUGGUUUGUGAUGUGUGCUGGCAGGUGGUGAAGGAGAGACUGCAGGACCUGCUGAACCGAGAGGAGGAGGAAGAGAGUCAUGGGGAGGAUGUGAGUACCUGUGAUCCGGUGGUAAACCAUUCAGAAUCGAUUAGCCACACGGUCAGCGUUCCCCUCCAGACCACCCUGGGCACGCUAGAGGAGAUUGCCUGCUGAGCACCGUAACCCCUCCACACCAACAGGGGGAGCCGGGCCACUCCACUCUAAUGGGUUAAGGACAGAGUAAGAUGAGGGAACGUCUCUGUUGCUUUUUCUCGGCAUGUCAUCAUUUGGCACAAACAUGAGAACUGGAAGCCAAGGAGCUUCUCGAGAAACACGAGGACCGCAAAGCUUCUCACAAACACCAUCUGUUUGUUCUGGACUCAUGAAGGAAAGCAGAAGCUUGUGGACCCAUCAGGACAGUCACUUGUAGAAAUAAGACGAACAUGAAAACACGAGCAUGUGAGGAACUGCAGAUAUGCACGGCCGCGGCAUGCUCUCACGUUCUCUCUCUGCCCAGCCGCCAUUUCGAAGUCUACUGCCAAAACACUGUAAAUUAUUAACGGAGAAAAUGUUGUGAAGCUGUUCUAACUGUGCAUGUGUCAGUUUCAUGCGUUACAAUACGGUUUUCUCGAACUUUUCAUCCUCUCUCACGCGGGGAGACGGUUUUGUCUUCUUGUGCUGUUCGUUUGCUAUGUGUUUCUGCAUCUCAGCUGGCUUCUUGAUGUAUCACGGAUACAUCAUAAAACUGAGAGCUCCUUUCUUCUAUCCUUUUUAUUUUUCUAUCCUUGAUAGAAAAGCCGAAUGGCCCACAGUACAAUGGCAGCCAUCAUGAGCCCAUUGUGGCAGCGUUAUGGUUCUUCUACAUGCUUUCUGGAUCCCAUUUGAAAAAAGAAGAACAAUGAGAGUACAGAAAAAAGUGUUUUUGUCACUUUUCUGCAAAAGAGUAUAAGAUUAUAAGAGUAUAUACUGUAUAAGAGUAUACUUAACGUUUUUCUUUUUGUUAAUUGUGAGAAGUGUUGAUUUGUCAUUUAAAGCUGAUAAGAUCUCUCAUGCUUUUAAUUCAGUGCUUUUCAGAGAUUUUGUUGACGGCCAUCAUGAUUCUGCUUUCCCAAAUAUCGUACGUGGGAUAUUUUCAUGCAUAUAAAGGAUCUAGAGGCUCUAGAGGUGUUCAUGGUGGUUUAUUAUGUGAGUUGUCGCUAUACUGUUGUCUAUGUCUCAUAAUGUCAGAGCUCUUCAUCUGUGCUGCAGUUUAUUAACACUGUAAUUGCCAUAUGUUAUCUGAUAUUUACUGUGUUCCCACUGUGUUCUCUGAUGACGGAUGAUAGACGAUUCAAAGGUGUGAUUGUGUUCUUUUCUGCUCUCGAACUAAAUGUAAGGAUCUCGGAUCACUAUACAUCAGUAUGAAUGAAGCCUUUCAUUCUUCAGCGUGUACAGUGUUUCAGCCAAAAUUCAUUAACUGAGGCAAAAUCAUUCAUGCAGAAUGUGCUUUGGCUGAAAAUAAUGAAAGCAGGACCAGUUCUGGGUGACGGGAGUGAGCUUGAUUGCAUUUCUCAAAUUAACUUCCCUCAAUAUUCAAUUUAACAAAAUUGACCGGUGCAAAAUUCAGUCACAAAAUGAAAAGUAAAAUAAGAGCUUGUGUACUAAAACUGUAGGGGAAGCUCCUGAAUAAAUUGUUUUGGGACAUAAAGACCUCUGGAGGACAAGAAAUGUGUUGACAAGCUCCUGAGAUCGACAUAUAAAUACAUUUAAAAAAGUAUUUAAUCUGGUUUAUUAAGCCUAGGCUUUCACACAUGACCUAGGGCCCCCUUGUCCAAUCAGAUUUGAGCUUAGAGGCAGUAUGCAAAUAUCUGUCAUAAAUAUCCAUGCUCAGAGAUUUUUCUUGGAGGAUUAUUAGUAGUUAUUAUUUCCAUGCCCCCUUUCCAGGGCAACGGUAUCAAGAGCGUGAUUUGCACCUAUAUCAUAAUGUGAAAUGUAUUAAAUAAUAACAUUAAGAGCGGAAACAUUAUAAUUUUGCCACAGGGAAUAGAAUAAUGAAUGUGAGCCAUGGUUUGUUUGUGGCAUAUGAGAGAGCCAUGUUAUUGUGUUAAUACAGACACAUUGCUUAAUGUGUGUUAUAUUUUAUUCUAUAAAUAUAGUGAGCAAAAAGUCCAGUCUGGCCACUUUCCUGAUUUACAAAGUAUCUGUGACCGAAUGUAAAUGUUUUUAGUUCUUUCAUUUGCAAUUCAGUUUGCGGAUCAAAUGUAAUAGGCUGUACAGGAUGAAUGUUUUAUCCUUAUUUGCCCUAAAAUGUGAUGAUAUUUU